rnacentral:pre_miRNA from 14 species
UUAACCCAUUUAACAAUUUAAUCCAUCAAAUUAAAUGAGUUAUGGAUUGACACAACCCAUUUUGUUAAAUGGGUUGUGUCAAUCCAUAACUCAUUUAACCCUAAACUUAUUUGAUUAUGAGU